UUAAAAUCCCGCUCAAUCCCAAAAAAUAACUUUUGGUUACCCGCUCGUUACUCCGUCUUCUUCUCAACAGUGAACAGACUUCAAUUCAUUUACUAAAGUAUCACCUGACAGAAUCAUUUCCAGUUUUCCAUUUUUCAUUUUCUUCCAAAACAAAAACCCCAUUGUUGCAAACUGGAAUUUUGUGGAAACUCAGUCUCUCCCUUUUCUUUUUCUCUUCUUUUGGCUCUGGAAUUUGAAAAACAAAAAAGAAAAAAACAGGAUGAGUACUGAAGCAGCUAAGUGAAGCACCACCGGAUCUCUGACGGUGAAACAACGAAAAACCGAUGAAUUGAAGCUUCUCCGGCGCUUACUGCAAAACCCAAGAAAGUUAUCAUCAAAAGCGCCGACAUGAAAGUCGACAUGCAAAAAGAGGCCGUCAAUAUAGCCAUUUCCGCUUUCGAGAAGAACAAUGUAGGGAAAGAUGUAGCUGAGUACAUUAAGAAAGAAUUCGACAAGAAACAUGGACCUGACAUUGAAUCUUCUUAAGCUUUUAUGUAAUAAUCUUCCUGGAUUUGCACUAAGGGGUGAACUCAUUCUAUGUGGCAUGCUGCAGAGACAUCAAGCCUGACAACCUGCUACUUGAUAAAAAUGGUCAUAUGAAAUUAUCAGAUUUUGGAUAAUGUUAACCAUUAGAUUGCAGUAAUCUCUAGGAAAAGGAUUUUACCUUAGCAAAGAAUCUCAGUGGGGCUAUUCAAAGUGAUGGACGACCUGCUCCACCAAAACGCACACAACAAGAGCAAUUGCAGCAUUGGCAGAGGAACAGAAGGAUGCUUUGUGGAAAGAGAAGAUCAGUGGAAAAAGACACUUCAUAUUAUGAUAUAUUGGGUGUCAAUGUUGAUGCAUCUAUACCUGAAAUCAAGAAGGCUUAUUACCUCAAAGCAAGGCGAGUUCACCCCGAUAAAAAUCCAGAUGAUCCGAAAGCUGCUGACAAAUUUCACGAUCAGCAAAGCAGAGAGCUGUCUCAAGAUCCCAUAUCUAGCGAGCCAAGAAACUAAGAAUGAAGGAGGAGGAACUGAAAUUAAAGCCUAUUAUCGCAUUUGAUUGUGUGAUCUAAGUUUGGCUCUCUCUUUCAAUAAAAAAGCUGAAAUCAGGGAACGAGAUUGGUGCAAUGUGUUGAAAUCAGGGAACGAGAUUGGUGCAAUGUGGUUACAUGCCAUAUGGAUACUGAAAAGGCAUAUGUGUGGCGACUUCAAAAUUUUGUGAUUGGUGAGCAUACUCCUGAGACCAUGUCCUGAAAAUCCAACUCCUGUAAAGGCCUGUGCCAUCAGUGCUUGUGGUAAUUUUGCGGUUCUAGGGACAGCAGGGGGUUGGAUUGAGAGAUUCAAUCUCCAAUCUGGAAUAAGUCGAGGUAGUUAUGUGGACACGCCAAAAGGAAGUGCUCAUGAUGGGGAGUCUGCUGCUGAAAGGGCAAUAAGGGAAA